rnacentral:piRNA from 1 species
UUAGGAAAAAUGCACUAACUUCAUCGGUUU